GCGAGCGGCGGAUGGGUGAGUAACACGUGGGGAACCUGCCCCUAAGUCUGGGAUACCAUUUGGAAACAGGUGCUAAUACCGGAUAAUAAAGCAGAUCGCAUGAUCAGCUUUUGAAAGGCGGCGUAAGCUGUCGCUAAGGGAUGGCCCCGCGGUGCAUUAGCUAGUUGGUAAGGUAACGGCUUACCAAGGCGACGAUGCAUAGCCGAGUUGAGAGACUGAUCGGCCACAUUGGGACUGAGACACGGCCCAAACUCCUACGGGAGGCAGCAGUAGGGAAUCUUCCACAAUGGACGCAAGUCUGAUGGAGCAACGCCGCGUGAGUGAAGAAGGUUUUCGGAUCGUAAAGCUCUGUUGUUGGUGAAGAAGGAUAGAGGUAGUAACUGGCCUUUAUUUGACGGUAAUCAACCAGAAAGUCACGGCUAACUACGUGCCAGCAGCCGCGGUAAUACGUAGGUGGCAAGCGUUGUCCGGAUUUAUUGGGCGUAAAGCGAGCGCAGGCGGAAAAAUAAGUCUAAUGUGAAAGCCCUCGGCUUAACCGAGGAACUGCAUCGGAAACUGUUUUUCUUGAGUGCAGAAGAGGAGAGUGGAACUCCAUGUGUAGCGGUGGAAUGCGUAGAUAUAUGGAAGAACACCAGUGGCGAAGGCGGCUCUCUGGUCUGCAACUGACGCUGAGGCUCGAAAGCAUGGGUAGCGAACAGGAUUAGAUACCCUGGUAGUCCAUGCCGUAAACGAUGAGUGCUAAUUGUUGGGAGGUUUCCGCCUCUCAGUGCUGCAGCUAAACGCAUUAAGCACUCCGCCUGGGGAAGUACGACCGCCAGGUUGAAACUC
rnacentral:rRNA from 1 species